rnacentral:rRNA from 1 species
UACGAAGGGUGCAAACGUUGCUCGGAAUCAUUGGGCGUAAAGCGCACGUAGGCGGCGCAGUAAGUCAGACGUGAAAUCCCUCGGCUCAACCGAGGACGUGCAUCCGAAACUACUGUGCUCGAGUAUGGAAGAGGGUCGCGGAAUUCUCGGUGUAGAGGUGAAAUUCGUAGAUAUCGGGAGGAACACCAGUGGCGAAGGCGGCGACCUGGGCCAAUACUGACGCUGAGGUGCGAAAGCGUGGGGAGCAAACAGG